rnacentral:rRNA from 1 species
UGGCAGUGGAAGCUGGCUGACUGGAGUGCGGUAGGGGGUAGUGGAAUUACCGGUGUAGCAGUGAAAUGCGUAGAUAGCGGGAGGAACAUCCGUGGCGAAGGCGACUACCUGGACCAGCACUGACACUGAGGCACGAAAGCGUGGGGAGCAAACAG